CAGUUUUUUCCACGUAAUUUUGAAAUACAGUUUAAAAUUGUAAAAUUACAGAAAGAGACUGUAAAUUUACAUAUCUUAUGUAAAAUCACAUGAAAAACAUGUCAAUGUGCAUAACGUCCCAAAAAUAUUUUUGAAGAUUUAUUUCACAUAAUGCGCUAUAUUUAUAUGUAGUAUGUGCAGUAUGUGUGUGUGUGUGUACGUGUGUGUGUGGCAUUAAUAAUAUAAUGCCAUAUUUUUUAAUAGAUUAAAAAUAUAAAUAACAACUGUACAAAAGUUAACGUUCAUUAUUAUUAUUAUUAUUAUUAUUACUAUUGAUAUAAUAUGUUGUAUAUGUAGCCUACAUUGCGUGUUUGCAUAAAAGAGCAGGUUAAUCCUUUUUUGAACAGGUUUGUUGAAAAAUCCUUCUCGAAAGAAUCGUAUUUCCAAAGUACUGUCAACUGACCACAUCUUCUUCCGCUUGUCAAAAUAGUUCUGCUCAGUUUGGUGUUUUAUUACGGAUUUAUUCUCAUAGUACCGUUUCAUAAUUUGAUAUAAUAAUAUAAUAAUAUGCUGAUAUUAAAAUUAAAAAAAAUAAAAAAUGUAAUAUUCGAACUGAAGGAAUUCCCGCCCUAGCGCAAGGACACAUUCUCCUCCAAGCACGCAGUGGAGCUGCUGGGCGCGCAGAAGGAAUAACUCGACCUUCAGUUUCACGGUCAAUCUUCAAUCUGAGGCGAAAAUAAGCAGAUAAGUUCAGUGAGUGCUAAAACCAUGGUCAACAUGAAAGGUCAUAGUUAACGACCACAUCACCAUCUUCUGCAACGCUCUGAUGUUUGCUUCAUACAACUGCUUGAACAUUUCAUACCCAGGAAACCAAGGAGAAACGCAAGAGAUUGUGCAAAGAUUCCUUUUUAAGAUGAACCCCGAGAAGGGAUCGAAAGUGGAGAAGACCACAUCGAGAAAGAAAUCAGCAGUCAGUCCAAAGGUUCUUUCACUGAUUAACAAGAUUGCGGACUUUGAAAGGAUGGAGUAAAACUUGGAGUGUCAGAUCUUCCUACAUUGCCUAGCAGAAAUUCUUGACAGUGUCAAAGACUUAAAAUACUUGCUGAUUAUUUGCUUUCAUGGUUGAUUUUUUUUUUUUUUAAUGCAUCAUCUGUUGUCAAGAUGAAUUAAUCUGUUCACAGGUGGUUCAGUUUUAAGGACAAAUUAAUUCUUAUUUUUUAUUUGUUUACCAAUUUGCUAUAUUGUUGCAGUUUUGAACAAUUCUUUUGUGUGUUGUUGCAGUUAUUAAAUAUAUAUAUAUAUAUAUAUAUAUAUAUAUAUAUAUAUAUAUAUAUAUAUAUAUAUAUAUAUACUGUUGCAGUUAUGAAAAAAAACUGAAUUGUAUGUGGUUGCAGUUGUGAUCUAAUUUAAACUUUUGGGCUUUUUUUUUUAUUGGAAUAUUGUUGCAGUUUAGCUAUAAUCUCUAUACUGGUAUAUUGUUGCAGUUUUGUACAAAGAAUAUUAGUAAAUUGCAGUCCUGAACAAACUAUUUGUAUAUUCUUGCAGAUUGGUCAAUAAAUUAUUAAAACACA